rnacentral:rRNA from 1 species
CUACGUGCCAGCAGCCGCGGUAAUACGGAGGGUGCGAGCGUUAAUCGGAAUAACUGGGCGUAAAGGGCACGCAGGCGGCUAUUUAAGUGAGGUGUGAAAUCCCCGGGCUUAACCUGGGAAUUGCAUUUCAGACUGGGUAGCUAGAGUACUUUAGGGAGGGGUAGAAUUCCACGUGUAGCGGUGAAAUGCGUAGAGAUGUGGAGGAAUACCGAAGGCGAAGGCAGCCCCUUGGGAAUGUACUGACGCUCAUGUGCGAAAGCGUGGGGAGCAAACAGGAUUAGAUACCCUGGUAGUCCACGCUGUAAACGCUGUCGAUUUGGGGAUUGGGUCUUGAGCUUGGUGCCCGAAGCUAACGUGAUAAAUCGACCGCCUGGGGAGUACGGCCGCAAGGUUAAAACUCAAAUGAAUUGACGGGGGCCCGCACAAGCGGUGGAGCAUGUGGUUUAAUUCGAUGCAACGCGAAGAACCUUACCUACUCUUGAC